UGGGGAAUAUUGGGCAAUGGGCGCAAGCCUGACCCAGCAAUGCCGCGCGAAGGAAGAAGGCCUUCGGGUUGUAAACUUCUUUUAUCAGGGACGAAGAAUGUGACGGUACCUGAUGAAUAAGCUCCGGCUAACUACGUGCCAGCAGCCGCGGUAAUACGUAGGGAGCAAGCGUUAUCCGGAUUUACUGGGUGUAAAGGGCGCGUAGGCGGGAUGGCAAGUCAGAUGUGAAAUCCAUGGGCUCAACCCAUGAACUGCAUUUGAAACUGUCGUUCUUGAGUACUGGAGAGGUUGACGGAAUUCCUAGUGUAGCGGUGAAAUGCGUAGAUAUUAGGAGGAACACCAGUGGCGAAGGCGGUCAACUGGACAGCAACUGACGCUGAGGCGCGAAAGCGUGGGGAGCAAACAGGAUUAGAUACCC
rnacentral:rRNA from 1 species